rnacentral:rRNA from 1 species
UCGGGUAAGUUCCGACCUGCACGAAUGGUGUAACGAUCUGGACACUGUCUCAACCGUGAGCUUGGUGAAAUUGUAGUAUCGGUGAAGAUGCCGGUUACUCGCAACGGGACGAAAAGACCCCAUGCACCUUCACUACAACUUUACAUUGACUUUGGGUAAAUAAUGUGUAGGAUAGGCGGGAGGCUUUGAAGUGGUGCCGCUAGGUAUCAUGGAGCCAAUGGUGAAAUACCGCCCUUUAUUUAUCUGGAGUCUAACUCCCCACGGGAGGACAUUGUAUGGUGGGUAGUUUGACUGGGGUGGUCGCCUCCAAAAAAGUAUCGGAGGCUUUCAAAGGUACCCUCAGUACGCUUGGUAACCGUACGCAGAGUGCAAUAGCAUAAGGGUGCUUGACUGUGAGACCUACAAGUCGAGCAGGGUCGAAAGACGGACUUAGUGAUCCGGUGG